UGUGUGAAACAACAGGAAAUAGAUGAUUGCUCCGCCGAGCAGAGUAAUGCCCCUUCCCACAAAGAUGUCUGUCUCGUCCUUCCCAAAAGUGUGACCACAUCACCUGGAAAGUCGAAGGAGAAUUCAAGCUGUAAACACAAUGAAGCCCGCUAAUGAGUAGACCUUAAGAUAGGAGGAUUAUCCUGAACUUGGUCCAGGAAACAUCUGUGUGUUGACCUUCCAAAGCAUGUUGUGUUCAGCUGAUCGGAGUCCUGGUUUUUCCUCCACUUCUGCUUCAGCUCAUGGCUCUGACACACAACAGUGUAGCUGUAUGAGCUACACCUGGAAAGUGAAAAUCUAGGAGAUUCUACAGUUUCCAGCGGGAUGUUCUGGGGUCAGGCAGCGUGUUCAGACUUUGAGGAAGGAACUGAUGGCGGCCAAGCUCAUAGACUUCAAGAGGAAUGGAAGGCACCAGAGCAGCUUCACGACAGACGGGUUACCCAGCAACGCUGGAGCGUCAGGGAUGGAAGCAGGUGAAGGACGUGCUGUCAUUCCAGGGGCCACACAGGCUGUGCAGAGAGAUCCUCCGUGUCUCGGACCGCUGAAGCACUCCGUGCACAGGGUUCAUGUGGGCCAGCAUAGCUCUCUCUCCAGAAUGGGCUGCACUGUCAUCUCCAACCACUUGCCGUCCUGCGUCUGGAGACGCUUCUGAUGGACGAAGGUCACGUGAGCAUGGCCCCUGCUUCCAGAUUUGGACAAUCGCAUGUGGACAGAAUUGACAGGACUUGAGUUUGAAAAGUACAAGACAUGUGUUCUGCUGGUAUGCACAAGGGAUCACCAUAAGCAUGGGAAUGUCAAAGGGACCAAACACGGAGAAGGUUCAUGUCAUAGAAAUAAUGCUAAGAGACGUCAG